UAUUCCAGUAGAGAACAGUAUCUCCAAUGGAAUGGUAGCAGAUAAGCCUUGUUGCAGAAGAACUCUGAGUAUCUUCUAGCAAAGAUUAGAGAAUUCCAUUUUGACAAUAUGUUUAUUCUAGACUAUCAGUGGAAGGAGAUAAUUGUUUCUUAUUUUAUUGAGAAACAAAAUAAAUUUCCACUGGGAGAUUUUGUACCACCCCUAAUUAUUUUUCUUGAGGUUCAUUUUUGUUUACUGAGGCAAUUUCUGCCUACAUUUUGGUUCACUGUUCUGACUACACUGUUUAUUUUGGAAUAUCUUCAGGAACAUUAGUGCCAGGCGAUGUCAAGAGCUUAAAUCAUAAAUAUUUCAAAAGGUUAAAAGAAUCAAGAGGCGGUAGCCAGAUUUGACAACAAAACUCAUCUACUUACCUGUAACCACAGCAACCAAAAACAGCAAAGUUUUUGUGAAGAAAAACAACUAUACUCUCAUUCUUGCAUAAGUAACAGAUUGCCUUUCCUGGGAGAUCUGUAGUAAAUUGGUCCAAUUCAUUCACACUCCAGUUUACUACUGAAACUCGCCCAGCAUGAGAUGCUCUGUAGCUAUAAAUAGUAACAGUCAAUUGCUGUGGAGGCUGCACCUGGACAACUCAUUAAUAUUCAUGAGCUACAGGUAAGAUAAUAUAUGC